rnacentral:rRNA from 1 species
GAGUAACACGUAUCCAACCUACCAUUCUCUCGUGGGAUAGCCUUUCGAAAGAAAGAUUAAUACCCGAUAGUCUAUGAAUAAAGCAUUUUAUUUUUAGUAAAGAAUUUCGGUGUUUGAUGGGGAUGCGUUCCAUUAGAUUGUGGGUGAGGUAACGGCUCACCAAGUCUUCGAUGGAUAGGGGUUCUGAGAGGAAGGUCCCCCACAUUGGAACUGAGACACGGUCCAUACUCCUACGGGAGGCACCAGUGAGGAAUAUUGGUCAAUGGACGAGAGUCUGAACCAGCCAAGUAGCGUGAAGGACGAAGGCCCUACGGGUCGUAAACUUCUUUUAUAGGGGAAUAAAGUGGAGAACGUGUUCUCCUUUGUAUGUACCCUACGAAUAAGGAUCGGCUAACUCCGUGCCUGCGGCCGCGGUAAUACGGAGGAUCCAAGCGUUAUCCGGAUUUAUUGGGUUUAAAGGGAGCGUAAGUGGACGUAUAACUCACUUGUGAAAGUUUGCGGCUCACCCGUAAAAUUGCAGUUGAUACUGUAUGUCUUGAGUGUACAAGAGGUGGGCGGAAUUCGUGGUGUAGCGGUGAAAUGCUUAGAUAUCACGAAGAACUCCGAUUG